AUAUUGGGAGAGAGAAGAGGAAGAGGACCUGAUAAUUUAUUCGAACUCAAAUCUAUGGAUGACAAUUUUGUUUUUGAUGAUAUAUCCGGCACAGUUCCAGUAAUGUAGUUGGAAGAAAGAUUAAUAUGUCUCAUCUCUGAAGAGAGAUUCCAAAACCAGUCUGGCACAGCAUCAGAAAUUCCAUUCAUUGAGAUGUCAAUGGAAUAAAAGUGCUUUUGAGUUAGGAGCCAUUG
rnacentral:misc_RNA from 1 species